CAGCAGCCGCGGUAAUACGAAGGGGGCUAGCGUUGUUCGGAAUUACUGGGCGUAAAGGGCGCGUAGGCGGCCAUUCAAGUUAGAUGUGAAAGCCCUGGGCUCAACCUAGGAAUUGCAUUUGAUACUGUUUGGCUUGAGUUCGGGAGAGGUGAGUGGAAUUCCCAGUGUAGAGGCGAAAUUCGUAGAUAUUCGCAAGAACACCAGUGGCGAAGGCGGCUCACUGGCCCGAUACUGACGCUGAGGUGCGAAAGCGUGGGGAGCAAACAGGAUUAGAUACCCCCGUAGUCCCUGUCUCUUAUAC
rnacentral:rRNA from 1 species